GGAGAGUUAGCUCAGUUGGUAGAGCACUACGUUGACAUCGUAGGGGUCGCUGGUUCAAGUCCAGUACUGUCCACCA
rnacentral:tRNA from 3 species